UACGGAGGGGACUAGCGUUGUUCGGAAUUACUGGGCGUAAAGCGCACGUAGGCGGAUCUGUAAGUCAGGGGUGAAAUCCCGGGGCUCAACCUCGGAACUGCCUUUGAUACUGCAAAUCUCGAGUCCGGAAGAGGUGAGUGGAAUUCCUAGUGUAGAGGUGAAAUUCGUAGAUAUUAGGAAGAACACCAGUGGCGAAGGCGGCUCACUGGUCCGGUACUGACGCUGAGGUGCGAAAGCGUGGGGAGCAAACAGG
rnacentral:rRNA from 1 species